AACGAACGCUGGCGGCGUGUUUAAGACAUGCAAGUCGCACGGUGUCAUUUUGGUAGCAAUACUUGAAUGGCAUAGUGGCGCACGGGUGAGUAACACGUGAAUUACAUGCCCUAUAGAGGGGGAUAGCCCAGGGAAACUUGGAUUAAUACCCCAUGGUCUCGCAAGAGUAAAGGUGGCCGCAAGGCUGUCGCUAUAGGAUUGGUUCGCGCCCUAUCAGCUUGUUGGCGGGGUAACGGCCCACCAAGGCUACGACGGGUGCCUGGUCUGAGAGGACGAUCAGGCACACUGGAACUGAGACACGGUCCAGACACCUACGGGUGGCAGCAGUCGAGAAUAAUUCACAAUGGGGGCAACCCUGAUGGUGCAACGCCGCGUGGAGGAUGACGGUCUUCGGAUUGUAAACUCCUGUCAUCCGGGAGUAAGACCUGGGAGUUAAUAGCUCACAGGGUUGAUAGUACCGGAAGAGGAAGGGACGGCUAACUUCGUGCCAGCAGCCGCCGUAACAC
rnacentral:rRNA from 1 species